rnacentral:lncRNA from 1 species
CCCCCCCCACAUCCCCCCUCCCACACCCCGUACACACGCGCACCGCCCCCCCCACAUCCCCCCUCCCACACGCCGGGAGACGUGUUGGUGGCUUUGAGGGCCAGUUGAGAGAGAAGCCACUGGGCUGGGCAGGAGCUGGGCCUGCUGGGCUCUGCCCGUCCUUGACCCUGGGCUCAGCCUGGCUUUGGGUUUGGACGUGAGGACGGACAGAAGAGGGACAGGAAAGCCCAGCAGCCGCUCUGACCUGAGCUGGCCCGAGGGACCAGGAAGAGUUUGUGAUGUGGCUCAAACUGCCUGGGCCACCCCAGCCCCACUUGGGGGGGUGGGCAGCAUCUCUGGGAGGCCCCGCCCUUCUCUGUGGGUGGGGAAGGACCACCCUCCUGGGCGGAUGGGAGAGAGUGUGCCCUACUCAGGACCCAUUCAAGAGCCUCACUGGGAGUUCCCAGCUCGGUGGGUUAAGGCUGGUCCCUCAUUUCCAGCAGAAAACUGUUUUCCUGGACUGUCUUUUUCUUGGCUUACGGAUUUGUGACUGCACUUUCCCAAGAAGUGUUGAAGCUCGGCUCACAUUUUUGUGUGGAGAACCAGCUAACCCCUUCCUCAAAGUUUUUGUGAGGAAAAGUAAUUUAAAUGUUUGAAAAAGAGUUGUAACCUGGUAAAGUGCCUCCGAAGGCUGCUGAGUGCCUCAGAGAGCAGGUACCGCGUGCUUGCUGCGUGUGGGUGUUCGGGCCAGGUACUUUGGGGUUAUGUGUGUCAACGUGACCUGGUCCCUACCUGCCAUCACCUGGGGGGGGGGCUGUGAACAAUUCCUGUCAGUGUUGAUAGGAGACAGUGAGACUGUGCCAUCAACGGUAGUCUCCGUGACCCUGGACCCUCAGAACAAGCCUGCGAAGUAGGUACUAUCAUAUUACCUUCUAUGAGUAUCCCCAUUUAACAGAUGAGAAACUGAGGCCCAGAGGGAUGAAGUAGCUUGUCCAGGAUCAAAUACAUAGCAAAUACUGGAACUGGGAUUUGCAGCUGGCAAUUGAGAAGGAGGCUGGAAUCCAGAGAAGAGGGUUCUGGAGUUCAGAGGGGAGUCCAGCUUCCCACGGGGGGUGGGGGGGGAGGAAGGUGACCUGGGGUGGGUGCAGGCCAGAGCGGGGAACGUGUUUCCUAGGCAGCCUGCAGGGAAGACUGAAAAUGCCCCAUGUUUGGGGGUGGGGGAGACGCUGAUGAGAGUCUGGGGAGCACAGGAGGGGCACAGGGAGAGGUGGAGAUGUGGCACUCAACUGGGGCUCCCGGGGACUUUUUUUUUGGCCACCCGCAGCAUAUGGAGUUCUGGGCCAGGGAUUAGAUCCCAGUUGCAGGUGCCACCUAGCCUGCAGCUGUGGCAAUGCCAGCUCCUUAAUCCACCGUGCCGGGCUGGGGUUCAAAUCUGCGUCCCAGUGCUCCUAAGACACUGCCGAUCCCAUUGCACCGCAGGGUUUGACUUUUAAUGCAGGGGUGACAGAUGGCUGGUCUGUCCACAUGCUGUCACAUGGGCAGCUCCUACGGGUCACCAGCACCCUUCCUCCGUUUCUUCAAGGGACAAAGCGACUUUGCUCUAGAGCAGAACACUGAUCGUCCCACACAUAUGUCCCUACUUUUGUUGCUGUCGCUGUGAGGUUUUUAAACUGGAGACCAUUUCACUUUCACACACCAACCACAAUGUCGAAUAAAUUGGUUGAACUUGUAGAUUUAUAUCCGCA